rnacentral:rRNA from 1 species
AGAUUGAACGCUGGCGGCAUGCCUUACACAUGCAAGUCGAACGGCAGCACGGGGGCAACCCUGGUGGCGAGUGGCGAACGGGUGAGUAAUGCAUCGGAACGUGCCCAGUAGUGGGGGAUAACUAGUCGAAAGAUUAGCUAAUACCGCAUACGACCUAUGGGUGAAAGCGGGGGAUUCGCAAGAACCUCGCGCUAUCGGAGCGGCCGAUGUCUGAUUAGCUAGUUGGCGGGUAAAAGCCCACCAAGGCUUCGAUCAGUAGCUGGUCUGAGAGGACGACCAGCCACACGUGGGACUGAGACCACGGCCCAGACUCCGUACGGGAGCAGCAGGUGGGAAUUUUGGACAAGUGGGCGACAAGCCUGAUCCGAGCCAUCGCCGCGUGGACGGGAAGACGGUCCGUUCGGGUUACGUAAACCGUUCGUUUACGG